UACUGAGGUCCCAAGCGUUGUUCGGAUUUACUGGGCGUAAAGGGUGCGUAGGUGGUGAGGUAAGUCUGAUGUGAAAUCUCCGAGCUUAACUCGGAAAUGGCAUUGGAAACUACCUUGCUAGAGGGUUGGAGGGGGGACUGGAAUACUUGGUGUAGCAGUGAAAUGCGUAGAUAUCAAGUGGAACACCAGUGGCGAAGGCGAGUCCCUGGACAACUCCUGACACUGAGGCACGAAAGCUAGGGGAGCAAACAGG
rnacentral:rRNA from 1 species